GACGAACGCUGGCGGCGUGCCUAAUACAUGCAAGUCGAGCGAAUCGAUGGGAGCUUGCUCCCUGAGAUUAGCGGCGGACGGGUGAGUAACACGUGGGUAACCUGCCUGUAAGACUGGGAUAACUUCGGGAAACCGGAGCUAAUACCGGAUACUUUCUUUUCUCGCAUGAGGGAAGAUGGAAAGAUGGUUCUGCUAUCACUUACAGAUGGACCCGCGGAGCAUUAGCUAGUUGGUGAGGUAACGGCUCACCAAGGCGACGAUGCGUAGCCGACCUGAGAGGGUGAUCGGCCACACUGGGACUGAGACACGGCCCAGACUCCUACGGGAGGCAGCAGUAGGGAAUCUUCCGCAAUGGACGAAAGUCUGACGGAGCAACGCCGCGUGAGCGAAGAAGGCCUUCGGGUCGUAAAGCUCUGUUGUUAGGGAAGAACAAGUAUCGGAGUAACUGCCGGUGCCUUGACGGUACCUAACCAGAAAGCCACGGCUAACUACGUGCCAGCAGCCGCCGUAA
rnacentral:rRNA from 1 species